rnacentral:rRNA from 1 species
AGUCACUGACAUUAGAUACCCGUGUAGUCCCAGCCGUAAACAAUGUGCGUUAGGUAUGUCGGUAACCACGUGUUACUGAUGUGCCGGAGAGAAGUUGUUAAGUCUGCUACUUGGGGAGUACGUCCGCAAGGAUGAAACUUAAAGGAAUUGGCGGGGGAGCACCACAACAGGUGGAGCCUGCGGUUUAAUUGGACUCAACGCCGGGAAGCUCACCGGAUAGGACAGCAGAAUGAUUGCCGGGCUGAAGACCCUGCAUGACUAGCUG